CAAGGUCCACAUUAUUAGUCCGUCAGAAGCUAUAACAAAAUGCCUAAGGCUGGAUACUUUAUAAAGAAAGGAGGUUUAUUUAGCCUAUAGCUUGGCUAGCUGAAAGCCCAAGUUCAGGUAAUUCAAUCUGUUGGCCUUUGGUGAGGCCUUCAUGGCAGAUGGCAUCAGAAAAGUCAGCAUAUAAGAGUUGCAAUCUGUCAUCUGGUACAUUGCAAGACAGGAAUACAGAGAGAUUCUGAGGCCAGGCUUACUAUUUUUACAACAGCUUGCUCUCUUGGUAACUAAUUUUUGUCUGCAAGAAUUACCUGAAUCCAUUCCAAGAGUGGUGCCCCCAAUAAUCUUAGUCAACUCCUAUUCUUGAAGUUCUUAAAAUUCCACUAUCUCAAUGCCACCACUCUUGGGACCAAGCUUAAGCAGAAAAAAUUUUAUGAGAUAUAUCCAAACCAUAUCUAAACCAUAGCAAGCAUCUUUAGAGAAAAAAAGAGAAAUGAAGUCUUGUGAUGUUCGGCUGUGGUGUUUGGUGGUGUGAUGAUGAUUUACAAUAAACCUAAGGAUAGGUAGAAUGAAUGAAUCUAACAUCUAAAUCUCAUUUUGGCUCCCCCUUAAUUGUAUAAUGUAAGUUACUUUUCUCUGGGUAAUUUUUCUACUGUCCUCUGUGCAACAAUGUCCCUGCUUACCUGCCAGGAACAAAAGAUGGACAAAUGAAGAAAUUUCUACAUAUUUCAUUAAUUAGAUUAUCAAAUGAGUUUAACUGAUUAUGGGAAAACUCUUUUGUCUGAGAGGCCAUCUAUAAAAAAUAUCAUGGCCUAUGUGAUUUCUUGAUUCUUUCCUUCCAACUUCAUUCCACAUAUAGCUAUUCUAUAUCCAUAUCCUCUUAUCCUACCCAGGGUACCAUUGCCACUAGGUCUUAUGUGAGAUGGAUUUUUAUGAAAGUUUAGGUUAAGGGUGAGUGAAAUUAGCAUUAUAUGAUACAGAAAACCACUAACAUUAAAUACUAUGAUCUAGAAUGUCAUUUGCCAUUCCUCCCAAAGGCGCAUUCCUUAUACCCAGUUUGGUCUCAUCUUACUGCCAUCUUUUAAGGUCCUUUUUCCUACUGAAGGCCUUCUUCUCAUCACUGUAGAUGCUACCCCAAAUCCCAAAGCUGCUGUUAGUCUUGUGGAACAGCAAAGUUCCUUCUCUGCAUCAUGCUAUGCCUAGAGGGCCCCAUAUUUCCUAGCCAGAAUUAUCUGUUGUAAGUCAUCAAGACUCAUCAAAGUAUUUCUCACAGUAACAUACCCAACUGGUUCCCUCCCCUAUGAUGUGUGAUGUGGAAUCAAAGCCAUUUUGGUUUCUAUAUAGUUAUCUUUCCCUGUUUGCUAUUUAAGCAUCUGACAGUGGAAAAGUAUGUAAUGGAAAAUGCUGUCUUGCCUUGAACCACUUCAAAUGCUUUGAAUUGCAGUAGCGUUCAGGGUAAAUAAUGGAGAAUUGCAAGCAAGAACAAUGAGUCAGGGCUGGUGCUGUGCAAAGUGGGUAAAGUUACUGCUUCCAGUGCUGGCAUCCUAUAUGGGCACCGGUUUGAUUCCCAACUGUUCCACUUCCAGUCAAGCUCCCUACUAAUGCACCUUGGAAAGCAGUUGAGGAUAGCCCAAGUCCUUGGGCCCUACACUCACAUGGAAGACCUGGAGGAAGCUCCUGGCUUCCGACUUUGGAUUGGCCCAGCUCUGGCCAUUGUGGCCAUUUGGGAGAAUGAAUCAGCAGAUAGAAGAUCUCUCUCUCUCUCUCUCUCUUUUUCUCUCUCUCCCCCUUUCAAAAAAUAAAUAAAUUCUUUUUUAAAAAAAGAAAAAGAACAAUGAAUCAUGUUGGGAGGGGGUGGGCUGUUGAGGCAUAGACAUGUGAGUUAAUCAUAAGGCAGCAUAAUAUGCACAAUUCUGAAGGAACAUACAAUAAACAGAACUAAUAUAAAGAAGAAGUCAUUAAGUAUAUACUUGCAUGUAGUGUUCAGUGAAAGAUUUAUAGAGGAAGUGAUGAUUCAAUAGAGCUUUAGAUGUCAAAUCUUUGUCUAAGUAGAUAACAAUGUGCAAAGGGUUGGAUUCCACACAGAAAAAAACAGCAUGUUCAGACACACAAAAAUAUUCCACUAUAUGUUCAAACGGCAAUAGGCAAUUGCCAUGAUUGGAUAUUUAAACUCUAGAAGAACCCCAAUCUUAUACUUUAUAAAAAAAAAUCAACCCACAACGGACCAGAUAGCUAACAAGACCUGGAAUCAUCAAAUUAUUAGAUGAAAACAUAAGGGAAGAACUGCAAGACACUGGCAUAGGCAAAGACUUAUUAGAUAAGACACCAGCAGCACAGGCAAUAAAAGCAAAAAUAGACAAAUGAAAUUACAUCAAGCUAAGACGCUUCUACACAGCAAAGGAAACAAUUAGCAAAGUGAAGAGGCAACCAACAAAAUGGGAGAAAAUAAUUGCCAACUAUACAUCAGAUAAAUGAUUAAUAGCCAAAAUAUAUGAGGAGCUCAAAAAACUCAACAGCAACAAAACAAAGAAUCCAGUAAAGAAAUGAGCCAACGAUAUAAAUAGGCAUUUUUCAAAGUACGGAAUUACAAAUUGCAAACAAACAAAAUAAAAAAUUCUCAGGAUCAUUAGCCAUUGGGAAAUGCAAAUAAAAAUCACAAUAAGGUAACAUUUUACCCCAGUUAGAAUGGCUAUUAUCCAAAAUUCAAAAAUUAAAAAAUGAUGGUAAGUGGAGAAGAAAGCAAUUUAAUGCACCAUCUGUGGGAAUAUUUACAAGUAUUUACCAAUGUACAAAUGUACAAAUCUUUGUACAAAAAUGUGCAAAUAUUUACAAAUAUUAUGAAACACAGAAUGGAGAUUCUUCAGAAAACUACAAGUAGAUCUACCAUAUGACCUGGCUAUUCCACUCCUGGGAAUAUAUCCAAAGGAAAUGAAAUCAGCAUAUGAAGAAUUACCUGUACUCUGGUGUUUAUAACAGGUCAACUCACAAUAGCUAAGAUGUAGAAUCAACCUAAAUGCCCAUAAACUGAGGACUGGAUAAAGAAAAUGUGGUUUUCAUCCAUGAUAGAAUAUUACUCAUCAAUAAAAAAAGAAUGAAAUCCUGACAUUUCCAACAAAAUGGGUGCAACUGGAAAUCAUUAUGCUAAGUGAAAUAAUCAGAUCCAAAAAGACAAAUAUUGUCUUAUUUGUGGUCAUUAAUAUAUGCAGAGAGUAUUAAGAAAGUGUUGAUGACAUAUAAUUUUAAAUAGUGCUUCAUGGAAUCAUAUCAUGUAUAUGACAAUAUAGUAUUAUUUCUCAUGAAAAAAGAAGAAUUUAUAAGGGACUAGUGAGGCCUCUGUGAGUGCUAGUAAUGCUUUGUUCUUAAUUUGGUGUUGGUUAUGAGUGUGACCAAAUGGCAAAAAUCCUCAUUUAUCUGUACAUAUGUACAUUUCUUGGUAUGUAUACUGUAUUUCAAUAAAAUAUUUUUAAAACUCUAGAGGAGCAAAAUGUAGAAGAAGAGCAGAGCAUGAAUGAUUGCUAAGCUAUGAGGGGCAGUCACAGUUGACUGCCUACCCAAUAAUCAUUUACUUCCAACAUAUCUGAGUGUGCACUGCUGAAAGUUUGAGUCAUGAUGGGACUAAGCUGAUCAGGAGAAUUCCAUCUACCUUUGCCAGAUAUUGAUCUGUGGUUUUGCAUAUGACCUAGUUUUGGCCAAUAGAACAUAACAGUGGGUUGCAGACAUUUGCAGAAGACAAGGUCACAAAGAUGACAGAGAUAUUAACUGAAAGCCUUGAUGGCAUCAAUCCAGCCUGAAUCUAGCUAUUUCCGUAUUCUACGUAAGUGAUAUAAUAGAAGACUGCAUUGGUUAAGUCACAUUAAUGAAGUUUUCUAAUAUUUGUAGCCACAAGCUUUGUUGCUGACACAUCACUUAAGGUGUUAAUUCUGCGCCAGGAACAAACUCUAAAGGACUGGAGAAAAGUCGUUGUGAAUAAUCAGAAAUGGAUUUACAAAGGAGGUGUGGCUUUAGUCAAGAAAACACUUGCCAGUGAAAGGAGUGAAGUUAGAUUUGAUAAGCCUCGAAGAUUAUGGUUACUUCUUCAACCAGCAGAGAUACUGAAGGUAGCUCUGAAACAGGACGUGGAAAUGAGUAGAGGCUUUCCAAAGAGAUUCGCCCACUCAGUGAUGGGAGAAGAAUGGCAACCCCAGUAAAGACCUGAGCCAUUCUCUUUGGCCUGGUUGAAUGCUGGCAUCUAGCAGUCAAUCAUUAUGUCAGCAAAAGAAGCACUGUGGACAACUGGAUUGUUCUGAUUGAAACUUGUGUCAGCUUAUCCACUUGCCACUUCAUAGCUUUAGUUUCUGCCUAUGUAUUUCUAACCUUAUUAUCAUCCAUAGAAGAUCUGUUUAUUUCUAAAACAGUUCUUUGAUAUGCUUUAAAUUCACCAUCAGAUUUUUCUUCUGACUGAUAUUUGAAUUCCAUGGAGAAAGAGGCUAUAGGACCACACAAAGUCAAAAUAUUUUGCCUGAGUUAGUAUUAAACAACUGCUGUUUGUUGCUUAAUAGAGUGAUAACGUGCCAUGCUCUGGAGUCUGACACAUCCCAGUUCUGUCAUCUGCUAACUGUAUAAGUUACGGCAAUCCACUUAACAUUUAUAUGACUCAGCUUUCUCACCUAUGAAAUGGGAUUCAACCAGAAAUAAUAAUAUCCAGAUGAUCACCACAGUGUUUUUACUAGGAUUACAUACUGUAUUACUUAUAAAAUGUUCAACAGUGUUUAUCAAAUGAUAAGCACUGAUGAAUGUUAAAUUAUUAUUAAUUCACAACAAUUUAUCCCUUAGGAUAUUUGAAUAUUCAAGAGUUCUUCAGACAAAGGACAUACAGAAAUCUGCUUUGAAAGUCAGCUGGUGCCUCUGCGGGAAGUUCUAACAUCUGAAGCGAGAGUGUCCUUCACUGGCUCGGAUCAGAAAUUCGAAAAUCUACCUGGGUCAGGAGAUUUACAGAGAAGCGGAAAGAGAGAGAUUUUCCAUCUGCUGGUUCACUCACCACAUGACCACAAUGGCCGGAGCUGAGCCAAUUUGAAGUCAGGAACCAGGAACUUCUUCAGGGUCUCCCACGUGAGUGCAGGUGCCCAACUAAUUGGGCCAUCUUCCGCUGCUUUCCCAGGUGCAUUAGCAGGGAGCUGGGUCAGAAGUGGAGCAGUCAGGACUUGAACUGGUGCCCAUAACGAAGGCUGACACUGCAGAUGGAGGCUUAACUUUCUAUGCCGCAAUGCCAGCACCAACGGUGGUAUGAUUUUUAAAAAGCAACUUACUGGGAUUAUUACCUGUGUAGAUAUCAAAUAUAAUUCACAAUCUGAUCCAGGAUGUCGCUCCCCGUCUUCGUGGAGGAACGACACAGGACCCUGCGCUGUUCUUUCGUCUGCUCAGCCCUCCCCGGGUUUGCUGCUGGUUCUUCCCGGGUUGGCUGCCGACCCUUCCACCUCCGUGGAAGGGCGGUUCCCCCUGCCACAUUCCCCACUUCCGCGGGGGAGCGGCACACCACCGGCCGGCUCUCUCGGGGGCUGCACAGGUGUUCCCCUUUGAUGUUCCUGGUGCAUGCCGUCUCUCUCCUCCUUUAUAGUCCUCCUCCGCCAAUCCUAACUCGGCUGCCCACACGCCGAGUACGCUGCUCUCCUCCAAUCAGGAGCAGGUCCUGCAGCUUGUCAAGUUGGUGAGAGGCAGCUGUGUAGAAGCUGUUUUCUCCUCUCCCAGCGCCAUAUUGUGGGAGAGCAGAUGCAUAGAAUAAGUCUUAAUUCCAGUAACUUAGUCUAGUCCGGGUUGCUCCCCACACAGGAGAACCCUUUCCCAUCUCUAUCUUUACAGGGGAGAAUGUUCUGAAGUUAAAAGUUCCUCAUUGUAUCUUGCCAGCCUAGCCUGAUAAGGGAAAGACAAAGGAUUUUUGUUUAUCUUUACAGGCAGUUUUUCCAUUCUCCAGGAGUGUUCAGCUCAGAUAUAAAGAGGUCCUUCCACUGCAAAAAUGGAAAUAAACUUUGGUCUGUCUUUGUUGUAAUGAGAGCAUACAGUACAUAUAUCAAGCAGUUUGAAAAAAAAUGCUGAGUCUUUGCUUAUUUUCUGCUUCAGUAAUCUUUAUUGAACAACAAUCCUGUUCUACACAAAUAAUGUUUGUUUUAUUUGGGGGGCUCUGCAAUCCUUUAUCAAAAAUUUAUUGUGUACCUGGUCUCAUCUCGACUUUCUACAGCCAUUUAUGAGAGUAGACCAGCUCCAGGGAUUAGAGGCUGCAAAGGCACAUUGAACACAAUGCUAAUAUUUAGAGGUUUUCUGUAAUGCAGAAUAAAUA